rnacentral:rRNA from 1 species
GACGAACGCUGGCGGCAUGCCUAACACAUGCAAGUCGAACGGAGAUUAUUUCGGUAAUCUUAGUGGCGAACGGGUGAGUAACGCGUGGGCAACCUGCCCUCUAGAUGGGGACAACAUCCCGAAAGGGGUGCUAAUACCGAAUGUGACAGCAAUCUCGCAUGAGGAUGCUGUGAAAGAUGGCCUCUAUUUAUAAGCUAUCACUAGAGGAUGGGCCUGCGUCUGAUUAGCUAGUUGGUGGGGUAACGGCCUACCAAGGCGAUGAUCAGUAGCCGGUCUGAGAGGAUGAACGGCCACAUUGGGACUGAGACACGGCCCAGACUCCUACGGGAGGCAGCAGUGGGGAAUCUUCCGCAAUGGGCGAAAGCCUGACGGAGCAAUGCCGCGUGAGUGAUGAAGGAAUUCGUUCCGUAAAGCUCUUUUGUUUAUGACGAAUGUGCAGAUUGUGAACAAUGAUCUGUAAUGACGGUAGUAAACGAAUAAGCCACGGCUAACUACGUG